AGCCCGGUCGUCUAGCGGACAAGGAUGGGGGCCUUUGGAGCCUCAGACCAGAGUUCGAAUCUCUGCCGGGCUACCA
rnacentral:tRNA from 1 species